GUCCAUGCCAUAAACGAUGGAUACUAGUCGUUGGAGUACCUAGUAACUUCAGUGACGUAGCUAACGCGUUAAGUAUCCCGCCUGGGAAGUACGGUCGCAAGAUUAAAACUCAAAGGAAUUGACGGGGCCCGCACAAGCGGUGGAGCAUGUGGUUUAAUUCGAUGCUACGCGAAAACCUUACCUGGGUUUGACAUCCCGCGCUAUCCUGUGAAAGCAGGAGUUCCCUUCGGGGACGCGGUGACAGGUGCUGCAUGGCUGUCGU
rnacentral:rRNA from 1 species